UUGGAUACAUCCUGACGUUUGACUGGAAGGUGUGGGCUUUGACGCUCAGUGCGAUUCCGAUCUUGGCCCUUCUCUUGGCACUGUCUGAGACGGUUUCUUCACACCUGGUAUGGCAAAGGUUUCGGCGUUCGAUGCAUCUCUUCUGCUGGGAACUUUUCCGCAGUUUGCUCUAUGAAAGUUCGCCGAUGCAGCACAGAGACGUAUCGAGUCGCAUCGUGUUCCUUUCAUGGCUGUUGGCCUGCCUCGUAAUAGCAAAUUCCUUCGCGGGUCACCUUAAGUCCAGCAUGGCCAUCAAGACUGCCCCAGAGAAG